rnacentral:rRNA from 1 species
UACGUAGGGUGCAGGCGUUAAUCGGAAUUACUGGGCGUAAAGCGUGCGCAGGCGGUGAUGUAAGACAGAUGUGAAAUCCCCGGGCUCAACCUGGGAACUGCAUUUGUGACUGCAUCGCUGAGUGCGGCAGAGGGGGAUGGAAUUCCGCGUGUAGCAGUGAAAUGCGUAGAUAUCGGGAGGAACACCAGUGGCGAAGGCGACUACCUGGCCUGUUCUUGACGCUGAGGCGCGAAAGCUAGGGGAGCAAACGGG